ACCCGCUGAACUUAAGCAUAUCAAUAAGCGGAGGAAAAGAAACCAACAGGGAUUGCCUCAGUAACGGCGAGUGAAGCGGCAACAGCUCAAAUUUGAAAUCUGGCUCUUUCAGGGCCCGAGUUGUAAUUUGUAGAAGAUGCUUCGGGUGCGGCCCUAGUCUAAGUUCCUUGGAAGAGGACAUCAUAGAGGGUGAGAAUCCCGUCUGCGGCUAGGUGCCCGCGCACAUGUGAAGCUCUUUCGACGAGUCGAGUUGUUUGGGAAUGCAGCUCUAAAUGGGUGGUAUAUUUCAUCUAAAGCUAAAUAUUGGCCAGAGACCGAUAGCGCACAAGUAGAGUGAUCGAAAGAUGAAAAGCACUUUGGAAAGAGAGUUAAACAGUACGUGAAAUUGUUGAAAGGGAAGCGCUUGCAAUCAGACUUGCGCGCUGUUGAUCAUCCCAGGUUCUCCUGGGUGCACUCGGCGGCGCUCAGGCCAGCAUCGGUUCCAGUGGUGGGAGAAAGGCCUUAGGAAUGUAGCUCCUCUCGGGGAGUGUUAUAGCCUCUGGUGGAAUGCCGCCUACCGGGACCGAGGACCGCGCUCCGGCUAGGAUGCUGGCGUAAUGGUUGUAAGCGACCCGUCUUGAAACACGGACCAAGGAGUCUAACAUCUAUGCGAGUGUUUGGGUGUCAAACCCAUACGCGGAAUGAAAGUGAACGGAGCUAAGAACCCUCUAGGGUGCAUUAGCGACCGAUCCCGAUGUCUUCGGACGGAUUUGAGUACGAGCAUAGCUGUUGGGACCCGAAAGAUGGUGAACUAUGCCUGAAUAGGGUGAAGCCAGAGGAAACUCUGGUGGAGGCUCGCAGCGGUUCUGACGUGCAAAUCGAUCGUCAAAUUUGGGCAUAGGGGCGAAAGACUAAUCGAACCAUCUAGUAGCUGGUUCCUGCCGA
rnacentral:rRNA from 1 species